CAACAGCGUAUAUUAAAGUUGUUGCAGUUAAAACGCUCGUAGUCGGAUUUCGGGGCGGGCGGGCCGGUCUGCCGAUGGGUAUGCACUGGUCUGGCCGUCUUUCCUUCCGGAGACCGUGCGUGCUCUUAACUGAGUGCGCUCGGGAGACGGAUCGUUUACUUUGAAAAAAUCAGAGUGUUUCAAGCAGGCAGCUCGCUCUUGCAUGGAUUAGCAUGGGAUAAUGAAAUAGGACUUUGGUGCUAUUUUGUUGGUUUCGAACACCGAAGUAAUGAUUAACAGGGACAGUCAGGGGCACUCGUAUUCCGCCGAGAGAGGUGAAAUUCUCAGACCAGCGGAAGACGAACCACUGCGAAAGCAUUUGCCAGGGAUGUUUUCACUGA
rnacentral:rRNA from 1 species